rnacentral:rRNA from 1 species
GACGAACGCUGGCGGCGUGCCUAAUACAUGCAAGUCGAACGCAGUGGGGACGGGUGAGUAACACGUGGGUAACCUCCCAUCAGAGGGGAUAACACUUGGCAACAGGUGCUAAACCGAUACUGAUGGAUGGACCCGCGGUGCAUUAGCUAGUUGGUGGGGUAACGGCUCACCAGGGCCACGAUGCCUAGCGGAACUGGGAGGGGGAUCGGCCAAACUGGGACGGGGACAAGGCCCAGACUCCGACGGGAGGCAGCAGUAGGGAAUCUUCGGCAAUGGACGAAAGUCUGACCGAGCAACGCCGCGUGAGUGAAGAAGGUUUUCGGAUCGUAAAGCUCUGUUGUUGGAGAAGCGGGAUCUAACCAGAAAGCCACGGCUAACUACGCGCCAGCAGCCGCGGUAAUAC